GAUGAACGCUGGCGGCGUGCUUAACACAUGCAAGUCGAACGGAAAGGCCCAAGCUUGCUUGGGUCCUCGAGUGGCGAACGGGUGAGUAACACGUGGGUGAUCUGCCCUGCACUUCGGGAUAAGCCUGGGAAACUGGGUCUAAUACCGGAUAGGACCGCAUUUUGGAUGGUGUGGUGGAAAGUUUUUCGGUGUGGGAUGAGCUCGCGGCCUAUCAGCUUGUUGGUGGGGUAAUGGCCUACCAAGGCGUCGACGGGUAGCCGGCCUGAGAGGGUGUACGGCCACAUUGGGACUGAGAUACGGCCCAGACUCCUACGGGAGGCAGCAGGGGGGAAUAUUGCACAAUGGGCGCAAGCCUGAUGCAGCGACGCCGCGUGGGGGAUGACGGCCUUCGGGUUGUAAACUCCUUUCGCUAGGGACGAAGCGUUAUGUGACGGUACCUGGAGAAGAAGCACCGGCUAACUACGUG
rnacentral:rRNA from 1 species